AGAGAUUUUGCAAUUUUUUUUUUAUCAGGGAAAACCAGGAUCCCUUCUAAUGAGAACAUGGCUGAGUCAACCUUGAUACAUCAGCAUGAGGGCUGUCACACUGGAACUGUUCAGAAGCACUGAACAGGCAGAGACACAUCAGAAUUGGAUUUUAACAGUUUUCUGGUCUCAUCGAUGAUGGCACAGAGAGGAAAAAUGGUUUGAUAGUAAGAAGACUGAAGAUGAUGCUUUGCUUCACUAUACAUACAAGUUGCUGAUGUUAGAAGACAUGGCUGAAAUGGUGACACAGAUAUUCCCAUCAGUGAUAGGAAACAAAAUAUUAAAUACCCAGCAUUCACUUCCAGACCAAGAAAAAAAGUAUGUUGCAACUAAACUGGCUUUUCUUUUGAAUUUUUAUCCAUUUUAAAAAUGCAGGAAUUGGCCCCAAAAGUCUCAAGACUUCCAAAUAAACUGCCAAAUGCCAGAUGGUACUGAAUUUUUAAAACAAAUUAUUUUUAAAAUGUCCAUUGCCACAGUGAAAAUCUGGCUGUAAUAACUGUAUUUUUGUAACCCAGCUAAGGUAACAGAGUGGGAUAUAAAACCAGUUUUAAAGGUUGUUGAGUUCUGGAGGCUUAUUAAGAUUCAGGUCACUAGUUCAAGUUUGACUUGUGUCAGCAUUGACUUAAAGAUUUUAGAUUUAGAUAAGACUCAUCUGAACAUGCAUGGCUUGCAUGAAAGGACUUGAUGGUUUCUACUGUACAAUUGGUACAAUAUUAGCAGGCUCCCCAGAUAAAUAUGGAAUUGACUAGAGGAGAAGAACAAACCCUCUUGUGUUUAGAGAUUAAUGAUAUAGAAGAAAUGUUGAAAAGCAUCCACAGAGUGUGUGGGGAAGCUUGAAUGGACACUAUCCAGGCUCUAGCUGUUUGGUACCUGCAGGAUGUCAGUCUGCAAGGCUGUCAGUCAGUCGGCUUUCACCAUCACUAACAGCACUUCACGGGGAAAAAUGGUAAAACGACAACAGAUUUUUAAAUCUUUUAAGAAAUACCAUAACUCCACUGAUGAAGAAAGUCUGAUAAGUCUUUAGAAAAAAUAACACCAAGACUGUGAUUCAGCAAGUCACUGAAGCACAGGCUUAACUUAAAGUCAGUGGGAUUUCUCAUAUGCUUCAACUGAGAUGUGUUGAAUCAGAAUCUAAAUUCUAUGAAAUGACAUCAAUAAUAAGGCUAGGUGAACAGGAGGCUCAGGCCAAAAUCUCUCAGAAUUUUGCCCUCAGUUUCAUAAAAAUCUUUCUCUGAGGACCAAAGAGUGAAGUUAAUUUUCUUCCCCUUGAUUAUUUUUCAUUGUUACACAUCUCUACACUUUCUGGCUCCAGUAAAGGCUGAAAAUGAAAGGCUGCUCUCUUGUAAAGUUUUCAUUACCAUCUUUCACAUGUGAAUUUUGUUUUUCCAAUGCUAGUUUAUAAGAUGCUUCUUACAAAUUCAGUGAAAAUCAGAAACCAGCUGAAACAACAUUUAAAGCAAGACUUCUCCAAAAGUUGAGCGUGCUUAAGCCUGAAAACUGGCAUUUUUGUUUGGGCAUACCUAAUAAAAAACACACAAAACAAAAACCCCCAAACCAGCCUAAUUAAUAAGCACAUAUUCUGAACAUUUUUUAGUUUUCCAAUACAUUUUCCAGCCUGAAGGUACAAGACAGAUCACAGUAUUUUCACUGACUUCAGUGACUCUGUGCUGACUGACAACAGUUGAUGAUCUAGUUUAAGAAGUUCAGCAAACUUUUGGUACAGUUGUAUUCUCUUAUUCAAGAUGAAGCCAAACUCCAAACCUGUUGGGGAAAAUCUACAAUCUGGCAAGGAAUAUAUGGCAGAAAGGGAACUCCAAUAAAUUUGUUACUGUACUAUAAAA